rnacentral:rRNA from 1 species
CACGUAGGGGGCAAGCGUUGUCCGGAUUUAUUGGGCGUAAAGAGCUCGUAGGUGGCUUAGUAAGUCGGGUGUGAAACCUCCAGGCUCAACCUGGAGACGCCACCCGAUACUGCUAUAGCUUGAGUCCGGUAGGGGAGCGUGGAAUUCCUGGUGUAGCGGUGAAAUGCGCAGAUAUCAGGAGGAACACCGGUGGCGAAGGCGGGUCUCUGGGCAGUAACUGACGCUGAGGAGCGAAAGCGUGGGGAGCGAACAGG